rnacentral:rRNA from 1 species
UACGGAGGGUGCAAGCGUUAAUCGGAAUUACUGGGCGUAAAGGGCGCGUAGGCGGCCUGUUAAGUCGAACGUGAAAUCCCCGGGCUCAACCCGGGAACUGCGUCCGAUACUGGCAGGCUUGAGUGUGGCAGAGGGGGGUGGAAUUCCACGUGUAGCAGUGAAAUGCGUAGAUAUGUGGAGGAACACCGAUGGCGAAGGCAGCCCCCUGGGCUAACACUGACGCUCAUGCACGAAAGCGUGGGGAGCAAACAGG